rnacentral:rRNA from 1 species
UACGUAGGGUGCAAGCGUUGUCCGGAAUUAUUGGGCGUAAAGGGCGCGUAGGCGGUACUUCAAGUCAGGCGUGAAAGCCCCGGGCUCAACCUGGGAACCGCGCUUGAGACUGGAGAACUAGAGUUCGGGAGAGGAUGGUGGAAUUCCCAGUGUAGAGGUGAAAUUCGUAGAUAUUGGGAAGAACACCGAUGGCGAAGGCAGCCAUCUGGACCGACACUGACGCUGAGGCGCGAAAGCGUGGGGAGCAAACAGG